rnacentral:rRNA from 1 species
CCUACGGGAGGCAGCAGUGAGGAAUAUUGGUCAAUGGCCGUAAGGCUGAACCAGCCAAGUCGCGUGAGGGAAGACUGCCCUAUGGGUUGUAAACCUCUUUUAUGCGGGGAUAAAGGUGUCCACGCGUGGAUGUCUGCAGGUACCGCAUGAAUAAGGACCGGCUAAUUCCGUGCCAGCAGCCGCGGUAAUACGGAAGGUCCGGGCGUUAUCCGGAUUUAUUGGGUUUAAAGGGAGCGUAGGACGGGCUUUAAACGUGCCGUGAAAUUGUGAGGGUCAACCGUGGAAGUGCGGCGGAAACUGGAGACCUUGAGUGCGCGGAAGGCAGGCGGAAUGUGUGGUGUAGCGGUGAAAUGCUUAGAGAUCACGCAGAACCCCGAUUGCGAAGGCAGCCUGCCGAGGCGUUACUGACGCUGAGGCACGAAAGCGCGGGUAUCGAACAGGAUUAGAUACCCUGGUAGUC